CUCCGUCAACAUCUUACCAGACAGCAUUAGAGUUAUGAUUCGACUUCUAAUACUGUCAGGUAAAGAUGUCCGCGGCA
rnacentral:pre_miRNA from 1 species